rnacentral:lncRNA from 1 species
UCUAUAUUGUUUUGAUGUAGGUGGAGCGACAUUUCAGAUGUCCUUCAAAUUGGUAAUAGCAGAGAAAAAUUUGAUGGUGAUUGUGGAACUACUGCACAUCCAUUACUAAGACGUCCAUUUGCAGUACUAGCUCAAAACCUGCAUAACGCUGGGGAAAGUUUGGUAUCUCAUCAGACGACAACUGAAAAUGGUAAAUAAUCUUGAAAAGUAAGAACAGUAUAUCGUUGACUAGUAAAAGGAACUGUCUGAUCACUAUUUUUGGAUUUUUAAGCAGCUAGUGACAACAAAACUCAAGGAACAUUCCUUAAACAAGAUGAUCCAAAGAAACAGGCUUUUGAUGCAACAAGCAGAACUGCUAAGCUCACUAGCAAUGAAAGUCGAUAUAGAAAAUACAGAUCAAAGCCUUGAAAGUGCUUGGAAGGUGAGUCUAAAGCUGUGUUUCUCGUUAUUCUAGUCCACGCCGUUCAGAAUAAUUGUUUUAUAAUUAUUUAGUUCAUCUCUAGGUAAGCAGUUGUUAGAAGUAGUGUCUCAUGACUUGAACCUUGUUUCUACAUGACCUGAUUAACUCAAUCAGGACAACUAAUGAACUGUCUACUCUUUGUUUAAUGAUUCAUUCCUUUGGCUAAAAAAGGAAGAUCCAUUGUUUAACUCGUUGAUAACAUAAGAAAGAUAAAGACUGCUUGAGCUGCUAAUGCUAAGUUUUUUCAAAUGGCCAGCUUCAUUUUGUGUUUCAUUGUUCAAGAAAUUAGUCUACACCGAAUGUGCAGAAACUCUAAUGGAGAAGUGUGAAUUUUGUGCAGAUACUCCAAGAUUUUCUUCAACAAACAAAGGAUGGUGAUACACUCAAGUUCCAGCUCCCUAAGAUGAAUUUUGAACCUGAUAGCAGAUUCAAGAAGCAGUAAUGAAGGCAGUCGGCCAUCUUGGAGGUAUUGACCACGCAAGCUCACUUUUAACGAUGCACAACUUAUCCCAUGCCACUGUGUCUAAAAUGUCGAUGUGCAUGCAACCUGCUUUAUCUGAAGAUUCUGCUGGCAUCUCUGAGUAUAGUAGGGAUCAACUCAAGAUUGUAAGAAGAACAUUCCUACUUGCAACAGUAAUGCAGUUUCCACAUUCGAUUAACAUGAUUUGACUAGAAUUGAGAAGAUAGAUCAUUUAUCCCAAUAUAAUAUAAUGUGUGCAGUUUAGACUCCAUUAUACAGGUUUUGGGAUGAUUAAAAUAGAAUUAUGCAAACCUAUAUCUAGAAAGUAUAUAUGUGUUAGGACUUUAUUCCACUUACUUCAUUGUCAAAAGAAAUGAGAUGAAGAGAUUAAAAACUAAAGCCACCAAAAAUGAUUCCAAGUUAGUCAAUAAACAAAGAAUUCAACUUCCAAAUAUCACAAUCUCGACCAGAAAAAAAGAAGAAAAAAAUCCUGCAAAUCCCCUCUAUCAAGAACCCUCAAAUCACUUAGCUUGAUUUUCUCAAAUUUAAUGAAACCCCGCGUAACAUUAACCAUUUUACUUAUUUAAUCCAAGAAUAAACCCUGCCCAAAAAGAAAUCACAGAACCCACCUACAUUAUACACAAAUUUAUACAAGAAACCCCAUAACCAUUAAAAGAAUACUUAACUCAAACAUAAUUUGAAAAAAAUAAAACAAAUCCCUUGAUAACUAACCCAUUUCUUGCACAAAACAGUGAACUUGUUCAAAUAAAGGAAGUCAAUUAACAAAGAAAUUAACUUCCAAAUAUCAAAAUCUUGACAAAAAAAAAAAAUGAAACCCUCAAAUCCCCUCAUAUCAAAAACCCUCAAAUUUAAUUUUUACCCAGUAUCAUAAAUCAUUUUUUCAUGGAAACCCCACGUAACAUUCACUAUUUUAAUUCUUAAUAAUCCAAGAAAGAAAACCCCCAAAAAAAGAAAUCACAGAACUCACCUACAUUUCCCUUGCAUACACAAACUUAUACAAGAAACCCCAUAAGUCCAUAACCAACAUAUAAAGAAGUGAACCAGUAAUAAAAAAAAUACACAAAAAAGAUAAAACUCCAAUUAUUUUCCUACAGUACAAAAAAAGUAGACAUAAUAAACAGAGACCAAAAACAGAGAAAAACUCACAAGUUUGGAGGAAUUCGCCACCAUUGCUUGUCUCUUCGCCACCGCACUCGAAACAGACGAAGAGGGUCGUCGUCAUUUCCUCCUUCUGAUGUAAAACCCUUCUCUUCAAGAGCAAGAAAACAAAGAAGAAGAAGACCGUGUACGUUACUUGUUUUAAUUGCACUUGAAACAUGAAGGGACCGUGGUUAUAUUUUGAUAUUCUUUUUUCUAUUAAAAAUAGUAGUAAU